GCGCCCGGACCCCCGGGGCCGAGCCGCGCGCCGCAGCCCGCAGGGGCGGAGAGGCCGAGGUAGGUGGAGGAACUAUUUCUUGACGUAAUCCGUCUCUGUCGGCCCGACGCGCCCGCAGUCUCCGCGCGAGCCGAGAUCAGCGAUUGUCAGUUCGGAACGUGGCUUUUAAAAAUGCGUUUUUAAAUACUGUCUUGGAGCAGUGGAGGAGAGACCAGCACAAGUUCACUGGGGCGUCCCCAUCCCGUCUUCCUGCUCGCCCUCCUUUGCCCCCCAACUCCAUCUCUGCGACACCCCGCGCCCCCCCCCCC